GUCUUAAUUGGGCGUUAAGUUGCAGGGUAUAGACCCGAAACCCGGUGAUCUAGCCAUGGGCAGGUUGAAGGUUGGGUAACACUAACUGGAGGACCGAACCGACUAAUGUUGAAAAAUUAGCGGAUGACCUGUGGCUGGGGGUGAAAGGCCAAUCAAACCGGGAGAUAGCUGGUUCUCCCCGAAAGCUAUUUAGGUAGCGCCUCGUGAAUUCAUCUCCGGGGGUAGAGCACUGUUUCGGCUAGGGGGCCAUCCCGGCUUACCAACCCGAUGCAAACUGCGAAUACCGGAGAAUGUUAUCACGGGAGACACACGGCGGGUGCUAACGUCCGUCGUGAAGAGGGAAACAACCCAGACCGCCAGCUAAGGUCCCAAAGUCAUGGUUAAGUGGGAAACGAUGUGGGAAGGCCCAGACAGCCAGGAUGUUGGCUUAGAAGCAGCCAUCAUUUAAAGAAAGCGUAAUAGCUCACUGGUCGAGUCGGCCUGCGCGGAAGAUGUAACGGGGCUAAACCAUGCACCGAAGCUGCGGCAGCGAACGUAUCACCCAAGACAACUUUACGGAGUUGACGAUUGACGGAGCGAAGCGACGUCAAAGCGUUCAUUAAAGUCGAGUUGGCUUAGGGAUACGUUCGUUGGGUAGGGGAGCGUUCUGUAAGCCUGUGAAGGUGUGUCGUGAGGCAUGCUGGAGGUAUCAGAAGUGCGAAUGCUGACAUAAGUAACGAUAAAGCGGGUGAAAAGCCCGCUCGCCGGAAGACCAAGGGUUCCUGUCCAACGUUAAUCGGGGCAGGGUGAGUCGACCCCUAAGGCGAGGCCGAAAGGCGUAGUCGAUGGGAAACGGGUUAAUAUUCCCGUACUUGGUGUUACUGCGAAGGGGGGACGGAGAAGGCUAUGUUGGCCGGGCGACGGUUGUCCCGGUUUAAGCGUGUAGGUGUGUGUUCCAGGUAAAUCCGGUUCACUUUAACACUGAGGCGUGACGACGAGGCACUACGGUGCUGAAGCAACAAAUGCCCUGCUUCCAGGAAAA
rnacentral:rRNA from 1 species